CCAAAGUCUCUGCAGAUCCCUAACUGCACCUUGUUCAGUGGAGGGAAGCGCCUGUCAAAGGGCAGAUGUGGACGUCAGAGAACAAGUUUGUUGAAUUGGUUAUCUUUCUGCCUUUACGUGGGUUUUGAGAUUGACCUUAGGUCUUCAGACUUUUAUCAUCCCUCAUCUACCAUGAAGUUUUGCUAGUUUAUUGGUUCAAGCGGUCCUCCUGUGUCUCAGCCUCCCAUGUAUUCUUUCUAUCUCUGGAGGCAUUGAACUUCACGCCUUACUAGAGGCUGCAGAAUCUUCUACAUUCUUCAGCUUUGGAGGCCCAGGGUGAACAUGCCAUGGAGUGAGUAGUCACCCCAGAGAUUUCCUGCCUUGAUUCCAGAAGAACCUGGUAGAUCAGUUGAGGUCAAGCUCACUGACAUCCUCCUGUGCCUCAUCUACUAGGAUUACAGGGAUCUGUGUUAUUUAAAGAUGCGUGGCUGUGGAUUUCACCCAACAGGAGUGGCACAGAUUGGACCCUACCCAGAGGAAUAUGCACAAGGAUGUGAUGCUGGAGACCUACAGUCACUGGGUGAGAAUGAGUGUGUCUGGGUAACCCCUGGAAGCAUGUGGUAACUGUGGUAAAAAUGUGCCAUCACUGCAGUUUAGUGAUAUUUUAAUUUGAAAUUUAAGGGUUACAGCUGACUGAUCAACUUAGAGCUCUAGGAAGAACGUGUGUUCUCAUGACCCCAGAAGUAAGGUUUAAAUGGGCCCUUUCCUUGUACAACUCAUGAAAGAUGCACCCCUUCCUCCUUGAUCAGGUAUCCUAAAACUCAAACUGUUUGGCCCAUGGCUGUGUCAUUUCCUAUUAACAGGUCUCUGCGUGGCCAAACCAGACAUGAUCUUCAAGUUGGAGUGGGGAGAAGAACUGUGUCUAUUAGAAGAGGAAUCCUCAGGUAUGUACAGCCCAAGUUGGCCUGAAACUCAUGAACCUCCUACUUCAGUCUUCCAAUUAUGAGAGGAGAUUUUACAUGAAAGAGUGACAUACUUUUUGUUUUUAAAGGACCUGUGUCUUUACUGUGUGGCAACAGUUCAAUUGAGAGUAAUGCCCUUGUGCUGGAGAACAGUUUUUCAGCAUCAGAGUAUUCAAAUUGUGAAUCAAAAUGUUGGUUAUGGAGCUGGAGAGAUGGCUCAGCAGUUAAGAGCACAGACUGCUCUUCCAGAGGUCCUGAGUUCAAUUCCCAGCAACCACAUGGUGGCUCAAAACCAUCUGUAAUGAGAUCUGAUGCCAUCUUCUGGUGUGAGAGCCCCACAAGGCUAGGGCUUGGAGCUUUAAGGAGGUGACAUCAACCAGCUGACCUUAUCUCAAGAAGUCGCAAUACCACAAGGCUGGUUCUUUCAGGACUGGACAUCUAAUGAAACUGCCAACAGGACUCUACUGUCCCUGUAUAGAAGUGAUGCUAGGAAGAUAUUUGGAUGA
rnacentral:lncRNA from 1 species